UACCAGCACCCCGAGUGGUCGGGACGAUUAUUGGGCCUAAAGCAUCCGUAGCCGGCCUUACAAGUCCCCCGUUAAAUCCAACUGCUUAACAGAUGGGCUGCGGAGGAUACUAUAAGACUAGGAGGCAGGAGAGGCAAGCGGUACUCAGUGGGUAGGGGUAAAAUCCGUCGAUCCAUUGAAGACCACCAGUGGCGAAGGCGGCUUGCCAGAAUGCGCUCGACGGUGAGGGAUGAAAGCUGGGGGAGCAAACCGG
rnacentral:rRNA from 1 species